AUUCUCGAUGAGCGCGUUGUAGAUAAUCUUCAGAUUGUAAUUCCUCUGCGCGUCCAGUGUCCUAUUCAGCACCACCACUAAGACCUGGGUUUGCGGGUAGAGGAAAAAACCGGCUACAGGGACAGCCCCGAACGCCCGGUCCUCGGCCAGCUGCACUUUCUCCACCGCCACUCGGGAAGCGUGCAGCACUACGUAGCGGGUGGCGUUCCGGCACGCGAUCUCCACGUUGACCUCCCCGGAGAAGGUGAAGUUCUCCAUGAAGGCGGUGAGCAUCAGAUUGUAGUGCAGCGGCUUCAGGUGGCCCGACAGGCGCAGCUGCGUCCACGGCUCCCACGGCUCCCGCUCCUCCUCCGACGGCGGCUGGGCCGACGUGGUCCCCGGACUGGCCACCCCACCCGCCUCGGGCUGCCAGGAGUCCCCGCCUGCGUGGUGGUUGCGCCGGGCCGAUCCAGGGAGGCUCCCGUUGCCGCCGCGCUCCGGAAAGCCUGAGGGGCCACCGUCGGCGCCUGGCGUGGCACUCGCCCCGCACUCGUCGAAGCGCAGGCUGAGCAGCACAGCGAGCAUUGUGACCGCGAGCAAUGCCACGAGGGACACAGCGAAGGCCAGCACAAGCCGCUUGUGUACGGCGAUGUGGCGCUCCGUGGUGCGGGGUCGCACUCCCACUGAGUCUGCCCACGGGUCGGAGAGCCCCCUGCUGCCAGCCCGAAGCGCGGCGUCGUCUUCCCCCAUCGCGGCUGCGAAGGCGGCGGCGUUCGGUCCUCUGGGUGGAAUGUGCUCGCAGCAGCAGUGACGGCGGCCACAGCACGGGAGGCACCCGAGCCAUACACCCUGCAGCUGGAGAGAAAAGGAUGGCCGAGGUGGGAGAGACUAGAGUGAACCAGCAGGAGGAAGUCCCAGGGCCGCGAAGCUACGACGGAGAUCCGUCCUGGAAAAGCCUUCUCCACCCUGGGCACUUUAAGCGGCGGUGGCGGCAAACGGCAGGAGGUUGCAGACCCGACAGCGAGACUCCCUCAUUCCAGUCUUGCUCUGCCCUCCGGAGAUGACAAGUGAGAAAGAAGUGUCCGGCCGGGCCAUCCCCUUCAGUUACCAAGAAUAACUGUAAAAUGUGCUGGGAAUGCAAUGUCCUGAGAUAAGGAAGAACUGCCUGAAACAGCCUGGAUCUUAUUCCUGUACUUCCUAGGGAAUGUAACAUCUCAAGUUAAAGAGGAACUGCCCGGAACAGCCCGGGGAUUGUUCCUCUCUCCUGAGAAGGAAGAUUACCUCCAAAGCUCAUCCACUGAGUCACACUGCCCCUGUGGUGGAGGGCGGGCUGCCUUUCCAGGUUCCUCAGCUGUGGUGUAACUGAAGCAGGCACAAUCAAGACUCCAUCUGCUCGAGGCAGCUUUCUCGAACCUUGGGGAACCUACUCACAAUGGAUCACAGGCUUCUUUUGUUUUGUUUCUUGCUGCCUAUCUGUAAGUAAUUAACUUGCUUCAUGUAACGUGUUGCAUAUGAGUGUGUUCUGUCUCAUAGACUCAGGGAAUUGGUAACACUGCAGCUGAGGACGCAGUGGACAGAAGUGUUCAGACUCCUGUUCCUUGUGGUUGACACAGUGAUGAUGAUCUCUUCUGUCCUCCACAGAGUGGAAGUCCUCUCUUGGGAUUGGUUAUUGGUGAAACCACUUCGCAAUUUAUUAAGAUGGCAAAAGCUUACGGAGGGACAGAUUUGAGGGGAAGAUCAAGAUUUUUCUGUCAGUAUUGCAAAUAGUCAAGAAUAUGUGGUCCAAGAAGUGAUCAUUAUCUUUGGCAUUGUGCAAGUCAUUAGUGACCUUCACAUGAACAGUCUCAGUGGAGUGUUGGAGGAAAAAGCCUAACUGAAGAAGGUUCAAGAGUGAAUGGAAAAAGAGCAGUAGUAUGUGGAGAGUACAGACAAGUAUUUCCAGGAGCCUUUCUGUAAAGAGUGGUAGAGAAUGGGACAUCAUUUUUGGAUGGGGGAAGAGUUAUUUAUAGCAUGUUCAUAUGCUAAUGGAAGUGAUCUACUCAUGGGGAAAAUCUUGAUGAUGCAAGAAAGAAAGGGAUUUGUUGGAAUCUUGUCCUAUAACGGGUGAGAGGGGAUGGGUUCUAGAAGAAAAGGCAUGGGUCUUUGUUUGAGAUCAGGCAAUUCAUCUGUAGGAACCAGUAGGAAGAUGGUUAAGUGGGUACCUGUGGUAGUGGAUGUUUGUGAACAUUCUUUUCUUUUCCAUUGUUUCUAUUUUCUCAAUAAAGUGGGAAGCAAAAAUCAGCUGAGUGAAGAUGAGGAAGAAGGUGUUAAAGGUUUGAAGAAAAAAGGAAAAGGAUAUACUAAUCUAAGAGGACAAGUAAGUAGAACAUAGAUAAUGAAAAUGCUGGCCCUUAGGACUGUUGGGCCUAAAUGCUCAUAUUAUAUUGGUAGUCACAAAUUUGAACUUUCUCUAGAGCCAAUUUUUGCAUGUGUGUGCAGGCCUGGAGUAGUUGGAGAGUUGGAUUUAAUAGAAUUGAGGGUCAAGCAACUACAACCAGGGAAGAGUGGGACAAGGGAGAUAAAGGAUAUUGGCAGGGGAGCAAUUAUAAACAUGGACCAUGAUCAAAACUGGACAGGAAGGAAAAUAGAGAUAAGAGGGGUGGAAGGUUAAAAAUAGUGAAAAUGAGAUAGAAUGAAUAGGUUGUAGGUCCCUGUAAAGUUGAAGAAGUAUUAUUAUGCAGUACUCGUUAUUGAAAUGAGGUCACUAUGCUUAAGGCACAGUGAAUCCUAGAAAAUAGUGGUUUUGUUUCUCAUUAGGCAAUACAUUCCUCCUUGCUCCAGAAUGCAACAUACAUGUAUCCUUUUCUGUACUAUUUUUUAUUAAGAAUUCAUACUUAAUUCCACUGACUGCCACUCAAUUUUAAUGUACAGUAGGGAAUUCCUGUACUAUGUAUUAUGAAUCCAUUCCUUUGAAUUUCAUUUAUAAUACUUCAUGACUGACACCUGGCUUUCCACCAAGACUCAAUUUUCAUAGCAAGCCUCAUCAUCAUAAGCCCCCAAAUUAACAGGAUGAGGAGGAAGAAUUGGCAGGCUAAAGAAGAUGAUUAUAUCAAUUAAUGCAGAAAAAGCAUUUGAUAAAAUCCAAUAUUCAUUUGUAAUUAAAAACUCUCAGCAAGUUAGGGAUAGGAAUUACUUCAACUUAAUGAAGAGUGUCUUUAAAAACCUUAUUUUCAUCAGUUAUAACAAAUGUACCACUCUGGUGGUGAAUGUUGCUAAGGAGGGAAGCUAUACAUGUGUGGGGAAAGGAGAUGUGUGAGCAAUUUCUGUACCUUCUACUCAAUCUUCUGUGAGACUAAAAUUGCUGUAAAAAAUAAAGUUCAUUUUUUUAAAAACCUACAGCUGUCAUUCUUAAUGCUGAAAGACAGAAUGCUUUUCUCUAAGAUAGGGAACAAGGCAAAGAUUCAGUUCUCACCACUCCUAUUCAACACAGCACUACAAGUUCUAGCCACUGAAAUGGGGGUUGGGGGGAAGCAGAAGAAGAAAAGAAAUAAAAUGUAUACAGUUUCAAAAGGAAGAAUUAAAAUAGUCCCUGUGUGCAGAUGACAUGAUUGUCUAUUUAGUAAACCCAUGGAUUAUACAAAAAUAAAAUUCCGAGAACUUAAAAAGUGAUUUCAGCAAGAUCACAGGAUAUAAGAUCGAGAUGAAAACCAAUGUCAUUUCUAUAUACAGUAAGUCCUCUCUCUUAAUAUCAUCAAUAGGUUCUUGGAAACUGACUUUAAGCAAAACAACAUAAAACUAAACCCAAUUUUUCAUCAUCAAAGUUAUAACAAAAUGAUGUUGAACAAAACUACAUUAUUUCAGGACCUGCCAUACAUCAUGUCACUUAAAAUUACAGUUUCUAAGAACCUACCAAUGGCAUUAUGUGAGAAUUACUGUAGUAACAAUAAACGUAUGAAAACCAAAAUUAAAACACAUUUACAAUCAACCCAAGGAAAAUGAAAUAUUGAGGUAUAAACUUAAUGUUUUAUGAGGCAACUUAAUGAGGCAAAAAAAUGUAUACUAUCUGAUGCUGAAAAUUGCAAAUGCUGAUGAAAGAAAUCAGUGAUGACAAAUAAACAGAGAGACAUACUAUAGUCACAAAUUGGAAGACUCAACAUAGUAAAAAUGUCAAUUUGCCUCAAAGUAAUCUGUAGGUAUAAGACAAUUAUCAAAAUUCAGGGAAGUUUUUUGUAGGCAUUGGCUAGCCUAUUCUAAAAUUUAUAUGAAAAGCACAAACCUUAGAAUAUCUAAGAUAAUCUGAAAAGAAGAAUAAAGUGAGAGGAAUCACUCUACCUGAUAUUAAGCUUUAUAAUACAGUAACAGUACUCAAGACUGUGUGGUAUUUGCCAAGGCAUGGACUCAGAUCAAUGGAACAGAAGAGAAAACACAGGAAUAGACCCAUAUAAACAUUUCCAACUGAUUGUUUUCCAAUCGAUUUGUGACAAAAGUGCAGAAGUAAUUCAGUGAAGGAAGGAUAGCCUUGCAACAAGUUGUGCUGAAGCAGUGAGCACCCAUAGGCAAAAAGAAAAAGAGAACAUCAACCUUAACCUCACAUCUUAUACAAAAAUUAAUCCAAAAUUGAUAAUAGACUUAAAUGUAAAAUAUAAAACAUUUCACAAAAAUAGAAGAAAGUCUUCAGGAUCUAGGACUAGGCAAAUAAUUCUUAAAUGAUAUCAAAAGCAUAAUUCAUAAAGGGAAAAGUUGAUAAAUUAGACCUCAUUAAAAUUAAAAACUUAUGGAAAAUGUGCUGUUAAGAGGAUAAAAAAUAUAAGCUACAGACUGAAAGAAAAUAUUUGCAAGCCACAUAACUGACAAAGGACUAGUAUCUAGAAUAUAUAAAGAAUUUUCAAUACUCAGUUGUAAAAACAAAAUAAUUCAACCAGAAAAUUGAUAUGAGCAAACAUGUCACUGAAGAGGAUGUACAGAUGGCAAAAAUGCAUGUAAAAAGAUUUCAACUUCAUAAACCGUUAGGGAAAUGUGAAUUAAGCAACCAAUCAGAAUGGUUAAAAUGUUUAAAAAAUAGUAACACCACCAAAUAUUGGCAAGGAUAUAAAGGAAUCGAAUCACUCAUGCAUUGCUAGUAAAAAAUGUAAAGAGGUACAGCCACACUGGGAAACCUUUUCAUGGUUUUCUAAAAACUAAGCAUGGAGUUACCAUACAUCCCAGCAGUUCUACUCAUCAGCAUUUAUCCCAGAGAAAUAAAAAUUUAUGUUUACACUAAAACCUAUAUAUGAAUGUUCAUAAUAGCAUUUUUCAUAGUAGCCAAAAAUUGGAACCGUCUCAGGUGUCCUACCAUGGGUGAAUGGUUAAACAAACUAUGGUGCAUCUAUAUCUACCAUGAAGUAGAACUCAGCAAUAAAAAGGAAUGAACUAUUCAUACACCUUAUAACUUGGAUGCAUCUCCAGGUAAUUGUGCUGAGUGAAAAAAAAAAAAAAAAGCCCCAAUUCCAAAAGGUUAUAUACUCUAUGAUUCUACUUCUGCAAUGUUUAUUAAAUGAUAAAAUUACAGAAGUGGGAAAAUGAUUAGUGGUUUCCAGGGGGUAUAUACAGUAAGGGUGAGAGGGCCGGAAGAGUGCAGUUUUAUAAGGGCAACAUAAGGGACCCUUAUGGUGAUGGGACUGUUCUGUAUCUUGACUCUGUUGGUAGUCACAUGAAUCUACACAUGAUAAAAUUGCAUAGAAUUAAACAUAUAUACACACUCAAAUGAAUGCAUGUAAAACCGGUAAAAUCUGAAUAAGGUAAAUGGAUCAUAAUCAAUGUCAAUUUUCCAUUUGUGAUAUUAUACUAUAGUUAUGUAAGAUGAUGUUAGCAUUGGGAGAAACUGGGUGAUGGAUAUACAGAAUCUUUCUGUAUUAUUUCUUGUAAUUGCAUAUGUAUCUCAAUGGUCUCAAAAUAAAAAGUUAAAUAAAUAAGAGAGACCAAAAAGUGGCUUUCCAGUGGAGAACUGAGAUAAUCUGAGCAUCUUAUGCUCU
rnacentral:lncRNA from 1 species